rnacentral:rRNA from 1 species
CAAUAGCGUAUAUUAAAGUUGUUGCAGUUAAAAAGCUCGUAGUUGGAUUUGUGGCAGUCGCGUGCGGCCCGACACUUGUUGUUGGUGCUUGCUUGCGUCGCCAUCCUUGGGUGGAACCUGUGUGGCAUUAGGUUGUCGUGCAGGGGAUGCCCAUCGUUUACUGUGAAAAAUUAGAGUGUUCAAAGCAGGCUUAUGCCGUUGAAUAUGUUAGCAUGGAAUAAUAAGAUAGGACCUUGGUACUAUUUUGUUGGUUUGCGCACCAAGGUAAUGAUUAAAAGGGGCAGUCAGGGGCACUCGUAUUCCGUCGAGAGAGGUGAAAUUCUCAGACCAAUGGAAGACGAACCACUGCGAAAGCAUUUGCCAGGGAUGUUUUCACUGAUCAAGAACGAAAGUUAGGGGAUCGAAGACGAUCAGAUACCA